rnacentral:sRNA from 1 species
GGGUGCAGUAGUGUGUACCUGUGGCUCCAGCUACCUGGGAGGACUGAGGUAAGAGGAUUGCUUGAGCAUAGGAGGUCAGGACCAGCCUGGGCAACAUAGCAAGACUCCCAUCCU